UUAGCAGGUCACUGCAUUUCAGUUUCCUGCGACUGCAGAGGAAUGCUAAACCAGCAGAAGCUUUGCUAUUAAUAAAUUAGACUGUUAAAGAGGAGAGGCUUUCAGUUCAUAUUAAACUCAUUUUAAAAGGGAAACAAUCUUAAAUCCUUCUCCCAUAUUGUCUGACAUUGGUCUGUCAUAAAUGACGUCUUCUGAUUCAUCUUCAAAUCAGAAAAAAAAAAAAAAAAGGAUAUGAAAUCCAGAUCUACUUUUCUAGUUUAAGUGGUUUGAUAGAAAUUGGAGGGCUAUUGUGUUUUAUUUUUUUUUCCCAGCAGAUAGAAUACCUUAGCUGAUAAAUUCCAGUGCUGGUUUUGUUGUUUGUCCUGAAGUGUCCUAUGCUCUUGUCCUUCCAAAGGGACCACUGAGUAAUACAUGAAUCAGUUCACUCAGCCUUCAUCUACACUUUUCGUCCACUUCAUUCUACAGCUGAACUGUUUCUGGUUUCCUGCCUCCAAAUCUAUUGUAAAUGAGGUUGUCAAUAAGGCAAAACCCUGAUUAUGUUUCAUGCCACUGCCACCAUUCUGCUGGCCUUCAUCCCAGACCUUGGACCAGCUUUGCCAUUCAGUUUUGAAGUCUCAUAAUGUAAAACAGAUGCCAUGAGGAUUUCUGGCUCCUCUCUGACCUGGAGUUAGCCAGAGCUGUUUGGUAGAGAGAACAUCAACGAUGUUCCUGCCUUGUUCCUGCUGGGGUUGCCCUCCCCAACUUACCUCCCAUAGGUUUCAGAGUCUCAUUUCUGAGAUAGCAUGGCAUGAAAGGAUAGAUCCUUUUGUCCAUUUUUCUUGUCUUUUGGAAAUCAUAGACGUUUGGAGCAACUCUUUGUGGUAAUAUCUGUGUUUAAGAGAGAAACAGUCAGAGAAGGGGAUGUGUAACUAUGAGAAAACACGGUAAACCACUGUUGGAAGAGCAGGUAGUAAUUGUGAAAAAACAUGCACUGGAAAUUCUGCAAGUUCUUGACUUGGGAAAUGCUAAAAAGGAAAUCUUUGGAUGUCUAGGACCUGUUAAGGGUUAGCCAGACUUGACAGGUGUGGGUUAAAAAACCCUUUCCCUUUAGUUUGUUCUGGAGAAGAUACUGGUCAUAUUUUGCCAUUGGAAGAUGUUUCUUCCCACAUUUCCUUCCUUUUAUUGCUGCCUGUAGGGUCGCCUCAGCCUGUGAAAUACGGCUUUAUAACUAAUUUGUCUUUGCUACCUGUGAAAAUUUUCUGAGACAGGGAAAAAAUAUUUCAAGGGCACCCCAUUUCUUUGUACCUGCUGUGAACGAGGCCAUCUAGUGAAGAUACCAGGGACUGCUGAUGGAUGGAUGGAUGGAUGGAUGGAUGGAUGGAAGGAUGGAUGGGAUUCCUGUCAGGCAGUGCAUUACAAUAUGGACUCUCAAGUUCUUACCAAAGGGAAAAGACUGGCUGAAGACUAAGGCCUUGGUGCACUGUAUUUUUCUUGCAGGCAACCCACUCAAGAGACAAUGUCAGGGAGUCCUCAUGACCCUUCUCAUGCAUCAUCCCUCUUAUGUCAUCAGAAGCUCACACGUCAGAUCUCACAUCUAAGGAAUUUGUUCCUUUUCUUGGCUCAAAGUCAUUUCAGGAAGUCUUAGAUGUCGUUUUUUCUAUAUUGUAGUUCCAGGACUAAUGUGAAUCAAUACUUCCAUGCAUGGCUGGUUUUAUGAAGGAGACUGUUCCUCAGGAGAGGGUUAUUCUCAUAGUUCAAGGAAUUUGAAAUUGUAUUCUCACCUGGGAAUACUACUUGAGCCCAGCAGGGUCUUGCCUGGACUGUCAAAGAACAACUUCCCUUAUUAGGGGUGAAUAAUUAAGCAGUCUGUCCAUAGGUACUUUGUUACCUGCUCGUCUCAUUUAGGGGUAUUUGCUUUCCUGUUCCCCUAGUUGUAUGGUUCAAAUUGCAGCAUCUGAGAGAAGAAUCAUCUUCUGGAGGAAACAGAAAUAAUAUCUUAUGUUCCUGUGUUGCCUGGGCAUGGGAAAAUGCAUGCGCAGUGCUCCCCCUUUCCUAGUUGCAGAUUUCCUAUCUUGGUUAUAUGGGCAUUGACUUAAAGAGAUUUUAGGAGGAAUACAAGUUAGAGGAGGGAUAGCACAUGACAUAAUGAAUAAAAUAAAUAUUUUUACUGUAGUUUUCCUGUAGCAGAACCGCUGGGAUUCAGGAAUCAUCAGAACAGUGGAGCAUCACGUGCCACUCUGUGCAGCACAUAAAGAGUCAUCCAUUGUCUCAUGUCUUGAGUCCACCUGCCAUCUCCCUUUUCAGAGCUCCCCUCCAGGAGCUGCUUUCUGAAUUGUAAAGUUAUUUUUCCUUCUGCUGCUUCUUUAGCUUUUGGUACUGGCUGCCCUGUCAGUGUUGAGUAAUGAGAAGAAUUGAUCACUUCUUUAUAAUGACCCUUUACAUCUUUGUUGGCAUGUUCUUUGUCUGCCUGCACUUGCCUUUUGUCAGGGUGCAGGCCUCUUAAUCUUUCUUCAUGUAGAUCUAUGUUUCCAAAAACAUUUUUUUUAUUCUUUCCAUUGCUGUCCUCUAAGUGCCAUCAGUUUAUCCUGCUCCUUUUGCAAAGGUGAAGACUCACAAGGCUGCCACCCAGCUAAAGCACAAAACUACAGCUGGUUGUUGAUAUUUUGACCAAAGGCCAUCAUCUGCUUGUGGCCAGAGCUGGGUCUGCUUUGUGCUCUCAUAAGGCAAAGUCUUUGCCAUGCUGGAUAAAGCUGUGGACAAUAUUAUCGUGUGGCCACGUUGUCACACAUCCUUGUCAUUCUAUUUGGUUGCCCUAUGGCAUUGCCGUGUCCCAAAGUAAUGCCUUUCCUCUGCAAUGUAGCAGUGGCGUGGUGUGGUGGGGAGGAACUACAUGACACUAUAACUGUUCUGCUGGGUGACAUUGUCACGUCAUGGUCAUCACCAUGCAUCACCAGCAUCGUGCUUCCACGUGUAACGAUCUUCCCUUGAUGUUGCUGUCACUCAUCAUGAGUGCUAUCAUGUACGAGACAAAUAAGAGGAUCUACCAGCUAAUUCCUUUGUCUCAAGCAAUCAAAAUCCUGGAUUCAUAAUGAAAAGUUAUUAGAUAAUCACAGUGCCAUUAUAUAAUUGAUCAUCAUCAUUACACUUUGCAUCACACGGUACCGCAACGUGAAGUUUCUUAGGUCCUAUAAGUUAUUCUGGAAUCUUUUAAGGAUGCACAGUGCCUCCUAAAGAAGGGACAGAUGGAAAGGUGGCAGAAGUGUGAGCUCUGCUAUGAAUUCAGCUCACAGCAAGUAGAAUUCAGGGUAAUGUCACAGGAAACUCACUUAUCUUCCCCUGAGUUUUCUUCUGAAAUUUCAGUCUUGAUAUGAUAUUUUUUUAAGAGGAACUUUUUUUGAAUUUAAUCUUUCAAAAGCUAAGCAGAGCUCCGAAAGUGAAAUUAGAGUCAGUUACAUUCCUAUGACCUGUUGCCACCUGCUGCCUGAGAAUAAAGAUUAUGCAUUAAGUGUCAGGCAACAUUUCUGUAGCAUUUGUAAGGGGUGAAUAUUAUUGAAAAGGCAUCUGCAAGGUGAAUCACAAAGAGAGCAGAAAGGCCAUACUCUUAGCUGGUGUAAGUCAGCACAGCUCAGUUAGGAAAAUCCUGAUUUACUUCAGCUGAAUACGUGGCGUUAAUACCACUUUCAUCAUCUGAGUUGGAAGGGGAGAUGAUAUUUACAUCAUCUGGUUAGAAGGGCAGAGAUAUAAGUGGUGAUUUAAGGUGGCUCAUGUUGGCAGCAAUAGUGAUGUCCAUUGGGAUGUCUCGCCUUGUAAGAAAGUCAAAUAGUUUGCCCACACGGAGACAUGUGGAGCAAGAGGCUGGGCAGGACUCACUGAGUCCAACGUGAAGACAGCAGGAGCUCUGAAGGGAGCCCACUGUAGCUAAGGGUCAUUGUAUCUGUGCUCUGGAUAGCAAAGGGACUCAAGCAGUGUCUUGUUAAAGCAGGGUGCCUGCAUAUUUUUUUUUAAAGUUGGUUUGGAAGCCAAUGGAUUGAAAUCUAACCUCUUGCUAAAGAGAAAUGUAAUUUACCUCCACAGCAGCAUCUCUUGCAGCCCCAAAUCCACAUCUAAAUCUUGGAUCCAUAUCUCUCCGGCAAUGCAGUUCUUUUCAAGAACAGAAAGCCCCUCCAAAUUUCAAAAGGCCCGUACUUACAGGUCAGAUCUGUCCUCUGAUGUGGUUGCAAGGUUUCUUGUUUGCACGUUGGUGGUAGUAACGUACACAUAUGUGUUUAUAUUAAGAAUAUACUGGGAGGCCGGUUAAUUCCAGGAAGCAGAGAUGUCUGGGACAGACCUUUUCUAGCAGCCUCUAUUGACUGUGCUGGUUUCCAGCAAUCACAAUUGCAAGUUGCUACUGGAGUGGCUUCAUCUACCAAGCCAUGCAUCAGGCAGGCUGUGUUUGCUGAUACUUGGAUGGAAGGCACAUCUAGAGAAGCUUGCUAUGGAGCAAACCUUAUCUUUCCCUUUGGCUUUACUGCCUCUCUGUGUUUUUUUUUCACUGCACUUACUGCUCAGCCAGAUUUAUUAAUGCACCACUGCAAACGAUAGCAAAGAGAGAUUUCAGUGUGAUGAGGUAGGUUUCAGAAGGGUGAGGAAGAAGUGGAAUUUAAACUCUCUGUUUAGGAGUUGUUUGGUUGAGGGUUGUCUGGCUUUAAAUAAUACUUUGAAAUUAUCCUUCAUGUUAGACGUUAAAUAACAUACAGUUUGUCAGCCUGUAUAAAAUAACAGGGUAUCAAAUUAAGUCAUGGCCCUUACCUUAUGUGGAAGUCUAGUAAUGCUUGUUUUAAUUGAUAAAAAAGUGUAUUCCAUUUAGCUGCUCCCUUAGGUAAAAUGCAUUGCUUAAUAAUACUACUAAGGAACACACCUGAGUUUGGACAGGUUGUAGAAAUAUUUGCAAUCAGGGUGUCAUUGUGACUAUGAAAAUAACCCGUCACUUCAGUAUGUGGUCGUUACAGCAGAACUGAUGUAACAAUCCUUGAAAAACUCUUAACUGAAGCCAGGGCGUUACAGCCUGAUGUCCAUCCCUGUGUCCAAGCUCCAGCUUUGUUCAGGUAAAACUCUCACUGAGGUCUGUGAGAGCGGUACCUGGAUAACCAGCAAGUAAACAUUAUUAAAAACUUGAUCAUAUAACAGAAAAUGGUAAGCAAGUCCCAUGUAAGUACUGUAAAACGUGUGUCAUGAUAUCUGUCCUGUAAUUUAUUGUGUUGCCUGUAUUUGUUUCUUAGUAUAUAGGCAGAGGUUUUCUACACAGAAAAAUCUUGAAGUUCAACUUGUUAUUCAGCAUGUGCAUAGAUCUACUCUUAUCUGUUAGAUAAAAGCCCACAGAGAAAUUCUCCUGGUGCUCUUGAUACACCAGUGCUGCGAGGUAUAUAAAAUGACUGACAGCUUAAAAUCUUCCCAGUAAACUGUUAAAAUUGCUUAGGAGCCUUUUUGGAUAGAGAGCUGAAUGACUAAAUAGUCCAUGGGAACAGAGCUGCUUUUGCACUUCUAGAACCAUCAUUCAUAGAUAAAGUGGAGGUUCACAGGGCAGUACUUGCAUUGCAGAAAACUGUUUUGUCCGGUUUUCUGUCUUGUGAAUUAAGAAGUGGCUUGAAUUUUAAGUUAUUUUAACCCAGAAAGUCCAGCCAGGAAUGCACUUAUUUACAAUAAUUGCUGAAUAUAGAAACAUCUGUAUUUUUUUUCAAUGCAUUCAGCUGGGGAGAUCACAAAAGAAAGCAAAAAAUUUUCUGUUCACAGAAAAAUUGGGUGAGGUAUUGGUUCUGCUGAUACUAAUUGAUAUAGUGUCAUAGGGACCACCAGCUGUAGAGUAAGGGAGCAACAGCAAAGUAACAGUCUCCACAUCAGCUCUAUGCUUGUCCGUUUUAGUCACUUGAAACCGUGACACGUCCCCACUGUUGGUGUCUUCCAUGUGCUGUGGAAGUCCAAGUGUCUGUGACCCAAGUUAUCAACAGCCAUCGUGACAAACCAGUCUCUGCUGCAGCUGUUCCCCUUCCCUUUGGCAACCUACAGUGACUGUAUUUUGUCUCCCCUCCUUGGGAAGUGCCAUCGUUGUGGAGUAGUGACACAGAGUGGGAAGGGUGUGAAAGGGGGAGUGAGGUAUCUGCAUCCUUCCUCCCCACCUCAAGUUUUAUGCAUGACUGCACCAUCGAAAAGUAGUCCCUCCCGUAGAAACGUGUGUCACCUGUUUUGGUAGCGUGAGUGUGCAAAGCACCUUCCUGCUUCCCGGUGACAGGGACUCAGAAGACAUCUAGCACAAGUAUACAUUUGCUGAAGAAGUCUUCUGAAGCCCCAUGGGAUCAGGAGGCUGAAUUAGCAUCCCACGUGGAAGCCGGAGAGGCUGAAGUGGAGCUGAAUUCUCUUU